UACAGAUAACGCAGGGUACAGGCAGGAAAGGUGGGUCCAAAUGGGGAGGUCUGGUUGCCCAUCUCAUCCCCUUGGAAAUAAUGGACUUGGGAAGCAGAAAAAUUUGGUCAUGUGAGAAUCUAAGGUAAUUAUCUCUGCUGCCAACUGGCCACUUCUCUCUUUCCUGUUUCUCCUGAGUUUCUAUCACGGUUGCUCACCUCAACAGAGCAGGAUCUUCAGAGGCACAGAAUUGUGGGUCGGCUGCUCCAGUUAACCAGUGGUAAAAUGACCUCUUCUGCCUACACCCUGCCCUGCCUCUUCAGGUGAGGCUGCAGCUGAUCCUGAGGACCAUGAAGAGCUGCUGCAGGUGGAGCUUCGAACCCACCAACCGGUCAGCCACUGGGGUCUUGAAGUAGUGCAGAAGGUGCCCCAAAGGGGAAAAGAUUCUUUUGUCAGUGCAUAGAAAACCAACACUGAGAAUGUGAAAGUCAACUCCCUAAACUCACCAUAACCAAAGACAAAAAGGUGAAACAACCACUUCUAGGUAGGAGUGGUUUUCAAUUCUGCACUGUAACACAGAACCCUUUGUAAUGGGGAAAAAAAAAGGUACUGGCCUUUGAUCCCUUUAAUAAGUCUUAGGCCUGAGGGAAGGGCAUUCACAUUUCAUAAUGACUAAUUAACUUGCUCGAAUUGCAAGUUGCAGAAGUUUCCCAGAGAAAUCAUAUUAUGCUCUUUUUUUUUUUUUUGUCAAUUUUCCAGAGGAGGGCAAGUAGGAGCAGAGCUAUAUGCCACAUUGUACUUUGUUCUCAUCAAAGUACUGGUUGCUGCUUAGCAGUGACUCUUGAAAGCUCUCAUUAAUACUUCAGGAGUGUUUGUGGCUAGAAGAGAAAAACCAAAUAUUAUGUCAGUGGAACAAAAUAGCGGUGAUAUUAAAUACAAUACGAAUUUGAUGGUGGCACAUGAAGUGUUUUUCAAAAGUGCUGUUAUUUGUAAAGAGAGGUUUGGUGAUUCAUUCAUAUGGAGAUGAACAAUAAAUUUAUAGAUUCUUUCUUUACAUAUUUAGUUUUUUCAGAACUGGGGGUUGGGGCUGGGGAUGUGGCUCAAGCAGUAGCGCGCUCGCCUGGCAUGCGUGCAGCCCGGGUUCGAUCCUCAGCACCACAUACAAACAAAGAUGUUGUGUCCGCCAAAAACUAAAAAAAUAAAUAUUAAAAAAUUAAAAAAAAAAAAAAGAACUGGGGGUUGAACCCAGGGACUCUCUACCACUGAGCUACAUCCACAGCUUUUUUUAUGUUUUGCUUUUGAGACCUUUUGGCCAAGGUUGGGAUAAAUAUGUAGUUCUUGGUUGCUAAACGUGUUAAAUAGA
rnacentral:lncRNA from 1 species